rnacentral:rRNA from 1 species
ACGCUAGCUACAGGCUUAACACAUGCAAGUCGAGGGGCAGCAUGGUCUUAGCUUGCUAAGGCCGAUGGCGACCGGCGCACGGGUGAGUAACACGUAUCCAACCUGCCGUCUACUCUUGGACAGCCUUCUGAAAGGAAGAUUAAUACAAGAUGGCAUCAUGAGUCCACAUGUUCACAUGAUUAAAGGUAUUCCGGUAGACGAUGGGGAUGCGUUCCAUUAGAUAGUAGGCGGGGUAACGGCCCACCUAGUCUUCGAUGGAUAGGGGUUCUGAGAGGAAGGUCCCCCACAUUGGAACUGAGACACGGUCCAAACUCCUACGGGAGGCAGCAGUGAGGAAUAUUGGUCAAUGGGCGAGAGCCUGAACCAGCCAAGUAGCGUGAAGGAUGACUGCCCUAUGGGUUGUAAACUUCUUUUAUAAAGGAAUAAAGUCGGGUAUGCAUACCCGUUUGCAUGUACUUUAUGAAUAAGGAUCGGCUAACUCCGUGCCAGCAGCCGCGGUAAUACGGAGGAUCCGAGCGUUAUCCGGAUUUAUUGGGUUUAAAGGGAGCGUAGAUGGAUGUUUAAGUCAGUUGUGAAAGUUUGCGGCUCAACCGUAAAAUUGCAGUUGAUACUGGAUAUCUUGAGUGCAGUUGAGGCAGGCGGAAUUCGUGGUGUAGCGGUGAAAUGCUUAGAUAUCACGAAGAACUCCGAUUGCGAAGGCAGCCUGCUAAGCUGCAACUGACAUUGAGGCUCGAAAGUGUGGGUAUCAAACAGGAUUAGAUACCCUGGUAGUCCACACGGUAAACGAUGAAUACUCGCUGUUUGCGAUAUACUGCAAGCGGCCAAGCGAAAGCGUUAAGUAUUCCACCUGGGGAGUACGCCGGCAACGGUGAAACUCAAAGGAAUUGACGGGGGCCCGCACAAGCGGAGGAACAUGUGGUUUAAUUCGAUGAUACGCGAGGAACCUUACCCGGGCUUAAAUUGCAGAUGAAUUACGGUGAAAGCCGUAAGCCGCAAGGCAUCUGUGAAGGUGCUGCAUGGUUGUCGUCAGCUCGUGCCGUGAGGUGUCGGCUUAAGUGCCAUAACGAGCGCAACCCUUGUUGUCAGUUACUAACAGGUUCUGCUGAGGACUCUGACAAGACUGCCAUCGUAAGAUGUGAGGAAGGUGGGGAUGACGUCAAAUCAGCACGGCCCUUACGUCCGGGGCUACACACGUGUUACAAUGGGGGGUACAGAGGGCCGCUACCACGCGAGUGGAUGCCAAUCCCAAAAACCUCUCUCAGUUCGGACUGGAGUCUGCAACCCGACUCCACGAAGCUGGAUUCGCUAGUAAUCGCGCAUCAGCCACGGCGCGGUGAAUACGUUCCCGGGCCUUGUACACACCGCCCGUCAAGCCAUGGGAGCCGGGGGUACCUGAAGUGCGUAACCGCGAGGAGCGCCCUAGGGUAAAACUGGUGACUGGGG